rnacentral:lncRNA from 1 species
GAAGACACUUACCAGAAUUUAAAUAUGCAGUUGGCCUCUCUCACAACUUGUUUGUGCCUUGGCAGCAGGCAAUGAAGAGCUAAUGAAGGCUGACCACUUUCACACAUGAAGUGAUGCCCAGUGAUGUGUGACGCAUUCUGGAAAGGGCAACGGCAGCAGGAAGACAAUUACACCCAAUUUGGGAGAAGCAACUUUCCAAAUACUGAGUACUUCUCAUAUGUCUCUGAGUUGAGAGGUUUAAAUUUCCAUUAACCUAGAAGAGGUCUGAGCUGAGGAUGGACGAUCUUUGGCUUGGUUUUCGGGUAACUUGACAGGGUCUGCGACUUUGGCUCUCUAUAUGAACCACAUUGCCAGAGUUUUAGUUUAGCUACAGCAAAGGUUCUCAUUGGAGGAAAGAAGAAAUGCAAGUUCAUCUGUUUUUCUAUCCUUGGUGCUUUAUCAGCAAGCUCCUGCUUAUCACACAGGGCCCAUCUGUGCACUUAAUAAAAGCAGGGGGCUCUCCACUGAGGAGAAGCCAAUUCCCCAUUGUUUGUCCAGUAGGUGUGAGAGACAUGAUCUGUGAAAACAAACUUUGUUGUCCCCCUUUAAAACAGGGGCCAUUUAAACCUUGCUGCCUUCUAACAAAAUGUAGAAACACAUGGUAAGCCUUCUUUCAAAACCCCAUAUUUCCCCCCUUGCUAGUCUGUGUUCUAGAUGGUGCGGAUUUUCAUCCUGCCCAAGAGAGAACAUGGUAACACCGGAUGUACCAUGUAUGGAGAAAGGCUGCUUGAAGUAUGGUUGCC